rnacentral:rRNA from 1 species
AUUGAACGCUGGCGGCAGGCCUAACACAUGCAAGUCGGGCGAGUGGCUGACGGGUGAGUAAUGUAUGGGGAUCUGCCUGAUGGAGGGGUAUAACUCCUGGAAACGGUCGCUAAUACCGCCUACUCUCAGUUGAACCCAUAUGGGAUUAGCUUGUAGGUGGGGUAACGGCUGACCUAGGCGACGACCCCUAGCUGGUCUGAGAUGAUGAUCAGCCACACGGGGACGGAGACACGGCCCAGACUCCUACGGGAGGCAGCAGUGGGGAAUAUUGCACAAUGGGCGCAAGCCUGAUGCAGCCAUGCCGCGGGUAUGAAGAAGGCCUUCGGGUUGUAAAGUACUUUCAGUCGGGAGGCGUUACCGACAGAAGAAGCACCGGCUAACUCCGUGCCAGCAGCCGCGGUAAUAC